rnacentral:tRNA from 1 species
GCGCGGGUGGCGGAAUUGGUAGACGCGCUGGAUUUAGGUUCCAGUGGGUAAUCCCGUGGGGGUUCGAGCCCCCCCUCGCGCACCA